UAAUAAUAGCUUUUAGGUUGCAUCGGAAGUUUUGACUGGUCAGUCUCGCAACCAAAGUUUCCUUCUCUGCUGGAAGCCCCAACGGCACUGACUAUCACGCAUGCUGAGGCUUUUGUUAGUAAGUCCUUCUGAAGCUUAAUGAACAAGGAUUAGCAUCUUUCUGAGUGAAAAUGAGUGACCUGUCAAAUGCCUUCUCAUUGCUUGAGCUGGAUGUGGAAGAUGCUAAGGAACAUACUAUGAUUGCCUCGGCUGCUGAUGGUGAUAGUGAAAA